rnacentral:lncRNA from 1 species
ACGGUUGAAUGUUUUGGCCAAUGACGUGUAGGACGAUGGUGUGCGGUGGGUGCUCGCAAUCCCAGAAGUGAAGUUUUCCUAUCCUGUGCAUUUGCAGUUUUUGUUUAAUGAGGCUUGGCUAUCGAUUGCAUUUGCUGCUGCUUGCUGUGCAUUUGCUGUUGCUGUUUUGUUUCCGUAUGCAUGCAUGCAUGCACCGGUGAGAGGUUAGCGUAGCAUAGCAGGACCGAGGGUCCAAGCAAGCUACAGAUUUGCUUUUAACCACGAUUACAUAAGGAACCUUUACAUUUUGUUUCCGUUGGUGGUCUCUACGUGUCAGUCAGUUGGUGGGUGGAAAGCCAUUGCUUACUCCGGCCCAGCUGUGUGCUUCUCUGCCUGCUGUUCUAGUUCUAGGCUUUGCUGCUUGGUGUCGCCUGUGAGAGGAAAAUCGAGUUUGGGAGGCCGCCGUGGUAGGCGGCGUGUGGGGUGUUGGGCACCGCUUCCAGAGGAGGCUUUUCCCUGCCCUGCGGUCGACGGCGUUUCGCUCGAGCUGCGCUUUGCCUUGGGCUUGCUAGUUCUCCGGCCAGGUGCGUUCCUUGGACGCCGGCCGGAGACCAGGCGUUGGCGUUCGGGGACCGUGGUCAGGGCAAUCGGUGGCUCUCGUGCUAUAGUGGCCGUCGGUGCUGGUGCUGGGCCUGGGCGGCACGGCACGACAGCUGGUGGGAGGCUAUGCGGGGGCGCCGGCGGCCAGAAAGCCAGGCGCGCGCCAACUGCGGUAGGAGAAGGGGCAUGCCGGUGGCCGGCAUCGGCUGCAACCAUGCGGAGGCAGUAGUACAAUCUACGAUCUUGGCUUUGGCGACUUGGUCAGGUGGGGCGCGAGGGUGCUUGGGUGGGUGGAGAAUUGGGAAGAGUCUCGCGUUCAAUCUCUUCUGGUUCGAACGGACUUGGGAUGAUUCUCGCGUUCUUGUUCUGGGCGAGGGGCCUUACUGCUCCUGUCUGAGACAAGGUUCUUCUUGUGAUUUGGGUUCAGGGGGGAAUUGAUGACAGGAGAAGAAGGUAGAGGCUGAGCUGAGGUGAGACAGGCUUUGGCAUUAGGUGCAGGCAGUUGCUAGCUGAGCCGUUCCUCUGUGUUUUCUGGGCAGCCGCUGUGGAGGCCAGGUACGUCGCUGGCGGCGAGGGUGCACUGGCACUUGAAGCGGCUCAACAAGCCAAGCCGGCCCUUCUUGAAUUCAAUUUUGACAUCUUAUUUCAUUGUGGCCACUGAACUUUUGUGUUCAUGCACUUCAGCAGAUGGGCCAGCACGGAGAAUGGUGAUUUCUUUGGCGUGAACUGCUUCUUUAUUUUGGGCCUUGUUCUUGGGAUUGGGGUUAAUUAUCAUCUUUCUUCCUGUUGAUUUGGUAUAUACUACUGUACUGUAGCUGCGUUUUCUAGAAUUUGACCAAGCUUGGGUAGAAGCUGUAUUUUCCAAAUUCAGAAAAGAUUGCCUUUUCUCUUUUUCUUUUGGUUUUUUAUUCGUGGUGCUAUUUUCCAUUGCUACUCUGCUUCUGUUUUCUAAAUGUCAGCGUUUGGUGAUGGAGUAGGCAAAUUCAAGCAAAGUGGAGCAGGAAGAUGAGAUUUGCAUCCAUCCGGACUGUUUUUUGCCAAAAUAGCCUCCAGUUGAAAAAGAGCAAAACCUUCUGUUUCUUUGUUAACAUUUCACCACCUACCGAAAUGAGCAGCUUUUCAGUGCAAAAGAUGAGUAUAUAGUUCAACAAUGUCUUGCUGCAUGCCAUCUUACGUUGCAUUUUUAUUGGAAGAUGCAAGUUUGAGAUUUAAGUUCUGCACACUGGCAAGAACAGUGCAUUUUCUUUUUCGGACUCAGAUAUGCUGUAACAUGUUUUUUCUUCUCAUUACUGUAUGUUUACAAAAUGCGCAGAGUCCAGAUGGAGGCAUCAUCGAUUGCGUGCACAUAUCACAACAACCUGCCUUUGUUCAUCGUCCCCUCAAGAAACAUGCUCUUCAGGUACAGAAUCCUCCACUUUCCACUUCAGGUACAGAUGGUAGUAAUGGGAUGUGGCCAAUUUGCAAAGUAGGAAUCUGAGGACAUUUUACAUCUUUUAUUCCGAAGUAAUCCAGCCAAGGAAAUUUGGCUGAAAUUGUGAUUGAGCAACUUCAUAUAUGAGGCGAGGAAUGUUCAUCAUUCGGGCUCUGUGGUGGCUGAACACAUACUCCGGCUAGCUAGCUGCUAGUCAGAUGCCUGGUACUGGCUCAUCCGGACUUGUGCUUGCAGGAAGCUAUACUCACAGCUUGUUGGUAUUGCCGAUUAACAACGGUGCUAUGUCUAUAUUGGCCAUUACUUUGAAUUAUACAAAAGCUUCUUCAAAGAUGAUCAUGUUUGUGAGGGAGAAAUGGUCUAAGAUGGUUUUGAGCUUCGUUAAACUGAAUGGCUUCGUAUCGCCCAGAGGAAGGAAGGAGAGCUAUUGAUGCAGUAACCCAUCAUGCCUCGGGUAAUUUUCUGGCAGCCCGAACCAUAUAUGUACCUCAUGCAGCUUCCACGGUGAUCAUGGAGGCAUUUGCCCCAAGACAUCGCUUGUCGUUGCCGAACGAGAUUGGAUGUAAUCGUCUCCAAGCGGAAUCUGAUUGUCUUGAAGUUAUUGAAGCAUGCUCAAGGCAGU